rnacentral:rRNA from 1 species
ACAGGGCUUUUUAAGUCUUGUAAUUGGAAUGAGUACAAUGUAAAAACCUUAACGAGGAACAAUUGGAGGGCAAGUCUGGUGCCAGCAGCCGCGGUAAUUCCAGCUCCAAUAGCGUAUAUUAAAGUUGUUGCAGUUAAAAAGCUCGUAGUUGGAUUUUGGGAUAAGCUUGUUGGGCCGCCGCGAGGUGUUUGCCCCGACGAGGGUAUCCUUCCUCUCGAAAUUGGCGUGUGCGCUUAAUUGAGUGUGCGUCGAGUUUGGGACUUUUACUGUGAAAAAAUUAGAGUGUUCAAAGCAGGCUAUCGCUUGAAUAUUUCAGCAUGGAAUAAUGGAAUAGGACGUUGGUUCUAUUUUGUUGGUUUCUAGGACCGAAGUAAUGAUUAAUAGGGAUAGUUGGGGGCAUUAGUAUUUAAUUGUCAGAGGUGAAAUUCUUGGAUUUAUGAAAGACUAACUUCUGCGAAAGCAUUUGCCAAGGAUGUUUUCAUUAAUCAAGAACGAAAGUUAGGGGAUCGAAGAUGAUCAGAUACCGUCGUAGUCCUAACCAUAAACUAUGCCGACUAGGGAUUGGUGGAUGUUAAUUCUAUGACUCCAU